UACGAGGGGAGGCUAGCGUUGCUCGGAAUCACUGGGCGUAAAGGGUGCGUAGGCGGGUCUUUUAAGUCAGGGGUGAAAUCCUGGAGCUCAACUCCAGAACUGCCUUUGAUACUGAAGAUCUUGAGUUCGGGAGAGGUGAGUGGAACUGCGAGUGUAGAGGUGAAAUUCGUAGAUAUUCGCAAGAACACCAGUGGCGAAGGCGGCUCACUGGCCCGAUACUGACGCUGAGGCACGAAAGCGUGGGGAGCAAACAGG
rnacentral:rRNA from 1 species